UAGAGGAAAUUGCAACUUUUGGCCCAAAGGUUUGAAUAAUUAAAUUCGAACCUAUAGUUUUUUUUAAUAUAAUUUUGGGACUCACAAUCCCAUUUUUAUAUUAUUUUUCUCUCUUCCUCUCACGUUGCUCGGCGUUUUCUCGUAAGGGGAGAUUAUUUUCUUUUUCUUCAGAUUAUAUUGACAAAGAUAGUGGUGAAAAAGGAGUUGUGAAGGGGAACUUGUUAUUCAAGACACAAGGAGCGAGUCCGGCCGAGAAAGCACCAGAGGUGUAAUUAUGGUGUAUGAGACACCAUCUUUUACGUUGCCUCUUAUUUUGGAUUAUACAAUGUAUCUUGUGCCAACUUAGGACAUAUCUUCUUUGUGG